rnacentral:rRNA from 1 species
CCUACGGGAGGCAGCAGUAGGGAAUCUUUCACAAUGGGCGAAAGCCUGAUGGAGCAACGCCGCGUGCAGGAUGAAGGCCUUCGGGUUGUAAACUGCUUGUAUAAGCGAGAAAUAUGAUGGUAACUUAUGAAUAAGGAUCGGCUAACUACGUGCCAGCAGCCGCGGUCAUACGUAGGAUCCGAGCAUUAUCCGGAGUGACUGGGUGUAAAGAGUUGCGUAGGUGGCAUAAUAAGUAGCUAGUGAAAUCUGGUGGCUCAACCAUUCAGACUAUUAGCUAAACUGUUAAUCUCGAGACCGUUAGGGGUAACUGGAAUUUCUAGUGUAGGAGUGAAAUCCGUAGAUAUUAGAAGGAACACCAAUAGCGUAGGCAGGUUGCUGGGACGGUUCUGACACUAAGGCACGAAAGCGUAGGGAGCAAACGGGAUUAGAUACCCGGGUAGUC